GGUCAGAGGAGAAUGACCAGACUGGUUCGAGCUAAUAGAAAGGCAACAGUAACUCAAAUAACCGAGGUAUGCAGAAGAGCAUCUCUGAACGCACACCACGUCAAACCUUGAAGCAGAUGGGCUACAGAAGCAGAAGACCACACCGGGUGCCACUCCUGUCACCUAAUGAAGUGGCUGUGUGUGUGUGCGCGCAUGGUGUUUGCUUUUUCUUCAGGUUCCUGGUUCCCACCCACGCUCUGCCCCCCAUUCCUGCCUGUCUGCCUCAGCUGAAUUAUUCAAUCAAGCCUCUGCCGCCGUCCCCACCUGCAACUCAUCUGUUACUCAUUUUCUCUAGCUAUAUAUUCUGUUAGCUCUGUUAGUCUGUGCCAGAUCGUGCCUUGUGUAACUUAGUGCCGUUCAAGCCUUUUUCUAUUCCUAGUAAAUACGGUUUUUUACUUUUGCCUGUGUUUGCCAUUUAUGCCUUUAGCCUGACUCCUCUGAUUACUGUUGCUUCGGUUUUUUGAAUUCUUGCCUGUCUUGCUGUUCUUGCCUCUGUUCCAGUUGUGUGCCUUUGCCUGCCUGGAAAAUUUUGACUGUCUUUGGAAUUUUGACCUUAGCCUGGAUUGUGGUUUACAAGACUGUUCGCUGAUUCUGUUGCUUAUUUGUUUGAUAAUAAACUGCCAAGUUUUUCCCUGA